UACAGAGGGUGCGAGCGUUAAUCGGAAUUACUGGGCGUAAAGGGCACGUAGGUGGUUAAUUAAGUUGGAUGUGAAAUACCCGGGCUUAACCUGGGCAGGUCAUUCAAAACUGGUUGACUAGAGUAUGGUAGAGGGAAGUGGAAUUUCCGGUGUAGCGGUGAAAUGCAUAGAUAUCGGAAGGAACAUCAGUGGCGAAGGCGACUUCCUGGACUGAUACUGACACUGAGGUGCGAAAGCGUGGGGAGCAAACAGG
rnacentral:rRNA from 1 species